rnacentral:rRNA from 1 species
AUUGAACGCUGGCGGCAGGCUUAACACAUGCAAGUCGAGCGAGCGGCGGACGGGUGAGUAAUGUCUGGGAAACUGCCUGAUGGAGGGGGAUAACUACUGGAACCGGUAGCUAAUACCGCAUACCAUCAGAUGUGCCCAGAGGGGAUUAGCUAGUCGGUGGGGUAAUGGCUCACCUUGGCGACGAUCCCUAGCUGGUCUGAGAGGCUGACCGGCCACACUGGAACUGAGACACGGGCCAGACGCCUACGGGAGGAAGCAGUGGGGAAUCUUGCACAAUGGGCGCAAGCCUGAUGCAGCCAUGCCGCGUGUGUGAAGAAGGCCUUCGGGUUGUAAAGCACUGUCAUCGAGGAGGCGGUACUCGCAGAAGAAGCACCGGCUAACUCCGUGCCAGCAGCCGCGGUAAUAC